AUUGAACGCUGGCGGCAUGCCUUACACAUGCAAGUCGAGCGGCAGCGCGGGGGCAACCCUGGCGGCGAGCGGCGGACGGGUGAGUAAUACAUCGGAACGUGUCCUGUCGUGGGGGAUAACCAGUCGAAAGACUGGCUAAUACCGCAUGAGAUCGAAAGAUGAAAGCGGGGGACCGCAAGGCCUCGCGCGAUUGGAGCGGCCGAUGUCGGAUUAGCUAGNGGCGGGGUAAAGCCCACCAAGGCUACGAUCCGUAGCUGGUUUGAGAGAACGACCAGCCACACUGGGACUGAGACACGGCCCAGACUCCUACGGGAGGCAGCAGUGGGGAAUUUUGGACAAUGGGGGCAACCCUGAUCCAGCCAUGCCGCGUGUGUGAAGAAGCC
rnacentral:rRNA from 1 species